rnacentral:rRNA from 1 species
GACGAACCGUGCGAACGUUGUUCGGAAUCACUGGGCAUAAAGGGCGCGUAGGCGGGUCACCAAGUCCGUGGUGAAAGCCCCCGGCUCAACCGGGGAAGUGCUUCGGAUACUGGUGGUCUGGAGUGGGGUAGGGGCAUGCGGAACUUCCGGUGGAGCGGUGAAAUGCGUAGAUAUUGGGAGGAACACCAGUGGCGAAGGCGGCUACCUGGACCGGUUCUGACGCUGAGGCGCGAAAGCGUGGGUAGCAAACAGG